rnacentral:lncRNA from 1 species
AUCUCUGAGUUAGAGUAAACUGUCAAGACUUAAAACUUACUUACUUUACCUUCACCAUGGGACUUGUAACCGUCACUUCUGUCUUGAGUAGUUAAAAGAUAGAACAGUCUAGCCAAGUGCCAUGUCUCUUAUUCUUGAUCAGCUAUAGCUCUGGGGUUUUUGCAGAUUUUCAAAUAAAACUCAGAGAUUCCAUGUAUGAUUCUCUCAGGUCUCUCUUUUGUGGUAUUUUUGGAUCCUUACCAAGGCAGUGAUGGUAUAUGCCUUCUCUCAAGAUAUGUGGUAUUUGUGGUAUGAGGCAUAGUGACAUUGCCCUCUCUCUCACCCUACUCUAAUAAGGCUUUAAUAUCUGGAGCUCAUAGGUGGGAGAUAAAGUAUACAUACUUACAAGACAUGUAUUGUAUAGUCAAACCAUGGAUCCAAAGAAACAAAUCAAUAAGUUUAAUCAAGAUGUGCAUGUGUGGCGAAUGAAUGGUGUAUGGUGAUGAUGGUGAUAACAAUGGUGAAAAUAAUGGUGGUGGAAGUCUAAUUCUACUUUGCUCUUUGAGGGGAUACAUACCUUUCUUGCUUUUGAAACUUUAUGAGGAGAAUGAGAUGCUCUUCUUUUUAUUGUCUCUCAGGUGGGUAUCUUGUACCCCUAAUUCUACUGUCGGACACUUGUCCAUUUUUACCUCUCGUCUCACUUUUUCUUUUCUUUCGAGGUUCCGAGCACUUGCUCCUUUUUAUUUCCUCGUAUCUCUCUUU